AUUGAACGCUGGCGGCAUGCUUUACACAUGCAAGUCGAACGGUAACAGGGUGCUUGCACCGCUGUCGAGUGGCGAACGGGUGAGUAAUGCAUCGGAGUGUACCGCUUAAUGUGGGAUAGCUCGUCGAAAGCCGGAUUAAUACCGCAUACGCCCUGAGUGGGAGAGUGGUGGACGGAAAGGCCUCACGGUAUACGAUCAGCCGAUGUCUGAUUAGCUAGUUGGUGAGGUAAAGGCUCACCAAGGCGGCGAUCAGUAGCGGGUCUGAGAGGAUGAUCCGCCACACUGGGACUGAGACACGGCCCAGACUCCUACGGGAGGCAGAAGUGGGGAAUUUUGGAAGAUGGGCGCAAGACUGAUCAAGCCAUGCAGCGUGGCUGAAGAAGGCCUUCGGGUUGUAAAGGACUUUUGUCGGGGAGAAAAUCCUAGUGGUUAAUACAUACUGGGGCUGAGAGUACCGGAAGAAUAAGCACCGGCUAACUACGUG
rnacentral:rRNA from 1 species